UACGAAGGGAGCUAGCGUUGUUCGGAAUCACUGGGCGUAAAGCGUGCGUAGGCGGCUUCUCGAGUCAGGGGUGAAAUCCCACAGCUUAACUGUGGAACUGCCUUUGAAACUGAGAGGCUAGAAUGUGAGAGGGGAUGGCGGAAUUCCUAACGUAGAGGUGAAAUUCGUAGAUAUUAGGAGGAACACCCGUGGCGAAAGCGGCCAUCUGGAUCACAAUUGACGCUGAUGUACGAAAGCGUGGGUAGCAACAGG
rnacentral:rRNA from 1 species